GUAGAUAGUCACUCAGACUGUUUGAUCCUCCUAAUCACAUCAUAUCCGUCUCUACCUGCAGCUUUGGACAAAAACAUUUAUGCUCAACACAGCUGGUUCCCCCAAGUUCAGCAGUGACCGUAUGAUACACAGUACGCAAAAGAUAUAUGGGAUAUCAUCCCCGUCAUCAUGCUCUGAAUAAUUUAACAGUUUACAGAAACCUUGAGUCUGUGAGGCGCAAUCGGUCACAGAUUUGCCUCUACUCUUCAUUGGGAAGGUGUUGCUGCCCCCAGCUUUGUAUAGGAACAUGCAAGUUCUGACAUGGACAUGAGAGCUGAGAGCAUGCAGGUUCGUCCCUCACUCUCUGAUGGUUAUAUUAAAUCAAACCAAGUUGUGUCAAGCAUCUCUUUGAACAGGGAACAUUUUUUUGGUAGAAAUUCCAAAUGAACUUGAUCAGAGAGCAACAUCAGGAGUUUAUGUUUGGAACUAUUGAAAUUAUUUUGCCUUCUCUACUGAUGGCUCAAAGAACAUGAAGAAUACGAGAUAUAAUAGAUAGAGCAAUGCAUCUUAUCACCAAAAGAUUACAGAGGACAGUUAAUUCAAGUCAAUUCAUCAUCUUGCACUACAUUUUGGCAUGGUGAUGUUACCAGACGGUGUUCUUCCAUGCUAACUAUAAUGCACGCACAUUUUGUAGCGACAGAGCUAGGACAUACUAUGAAUCUAUGAUAGAUGCGGAAAUGUGUUCUUCUAUAAGCAUGUGCUUGUAACAUGGAAAGCAUACUAAUAAUUCCAUCAUGUUUCCUUCUCUCUCGCUCUUCUUUUCAAAUCCCAUUAUAUGAAUAAUAACAUGAAAAGAAUGGGCGUUUCCAGAGCUUGGCCUAAUUUAAUAUGUUCUUAUGGUACUACAAAAAUGCUAAUAUGUUACUACAAUGUAUUUUCCAAAAAUCUCAUUGUUCAUUUACUGAAUAAUACUAAUUGCUAUCAUUUUAUUUUUCAGGAUACAUCUAAGUAUUUCUAAUGUGAUAUGUUUCAUUCCAGGGUGAUACGUAUGAAGGAAAAGAGCCAGAGCAGCGCUUGGAUAAAAGUCAGUGUUGGAAUUUGUUUGGCAGAUGCGGAAAUCUUGGUAAAGGUAAGUUCAGUCUUUCACUCGCUCACCAUGUUUUUUUGGUCUGCAUUAUUUUUCUAAUCUACAUUUCAGGAGUGGCUAUAGUCAAUGCUUUCAUGUACAUGAUCGGUAUGAACUUCUCAUCAUAGGUUCAUCUCCUGAGAGAGCUAAGUUUCAUGUAGUAAUCUAUAAGGAAAGCUUGGACAUAUCUCUUUUCACACGCGAUCUUAUUUACUUGAAAGAUAAGUUAUACACUCUGGGUAAUAAUUUGAUGAGUAGGCCAUUUCAAUAAUUCUAUUUGUUUCAGGCAUUGGUAGAUUGUGGUACAACUGAAGAGUUUCUUAUGCUAAUACUUGCAGAUCUCGACACACCCGGAACAAUGAGCACAUGUUACCAGCCACAUUCCACACAGGAUGUGUUCUUUUCAAAACAAAGAUACCCUGAUGCAUGACAAAGUUGUAGCGUUAAUCUCAAAAAAUUAUGCUUCUGUAGUAUGCAAUAUACACUAUAAACCUAAGAGUGGGUAGCUUCAGCUUGCUUCUGUAUUAUGCUUUCUCAUUGAUAACCUAGCCCAUGCUUGAUUAUAGUACACAUUAUUCCUGUUGAAAGCUACUCUCUCUGUCCCAAAAUUCUUGUCUUAGAUUUGUCUAAAUACGGAUGUAUCAAGUCACAUUUUAGGUUCAUCUGUAUCUAGAAAAAUCUAAGACAAGAAUUUUGGGACGGAGGGAGUAUAUUAAAUCCUAACUUUUGACUCUUCUGAUAAUGAAGUGAAGGUGCAGAACCGCAUCUUCCAUUGACUCAAAAAAUACAUUUAAAUAUUAUGAUUUUUAUAAUGUUCUGAAUGUAUUUUUCUCAGGAUAAGGACGCACACGGCGGCGAGGUUAGUAGGGGCGUAACAAACAAGAAGGGCGGGCGUGGCAAUGGCCAUUCAUGUGUCAGAUGAAAAUAGUACACCCACAUGUGUGUCUGGACUUGACAUAUGCAUCAGCGAGCAUGGUGAUGAGGUGAGAGUUGGAAGCGUGGAUGUACUUGACAAGGACCAAGUAGAUGCGAGCAAGCAUGGUGGGCAAUGUCGACGAUGGUCACGUCGAUGAGAAGACCGAAGAGGAAGGCUUAAAUGUAAUUAGCCAGUGUCUUUGGACAGGUUGUCGACAGAUAAAAGUUCUAUAGUUUGGCUUGAGGAGUAACAUAGACAGGCAUGCUGGUGCUAUAAGGCUAUAUCUCUCUUCGUGGACAAGAGCACAUAAUGCUUCAAGUUUCAUGGAAGUUUUUUAAAUUCUAUUAUGAGGCUCAAUCUGAAAUAAAAUCGGGUCUUGCUUUACCCAACUCUUGAUGCGUACCCCCCCCCCCCCUUGAAACCCUGGUGUGGUCUUCGAUGUAGAUUACCAGUUGAUAAGUUUGGAUAAGAGAGGGGGAGAUAGUGGAUAGACGAGGAACAACAGGAAAAGAGUUUUAACGG
rnacentral:lncRNA from 1 species